rnacentral:lncRNA from 1 species
UUUUUUUUUUUAAUAUGGAUCUUUCUUUUUUUUUUUUAAUUAUAUGGAUGGUAAAGAGGGGCCUGGAUUCAAGAAAGAUAGAAGUAGAAUUUUGUGAAGAAAAUGGUAGAUGAGAAAGAUGGAAUGAAAAGAUAUACCGGAAGAGUAGCUCUGAUACCACUUUGAUGCGCCCUAAGGAACGAACACUCGACCGGUAAGGAAAGAUAUGGACUCGAUCCGAAAGGAACGAGAACUGAUGGGAUGAACGGUGACACAGAGGGUUGCGGAUGUCCCAAUGAUACUACCAGGGUGCUUGAUUAUCGCCUGAUAUGACUCACAGGUCCGACAAGGAAGGAAAACUCGAUCUGUUGCCGGAUG